GAUCUGGCUCAGGAUGAACGCUGGCGGCGUGCUUAACACAUGCAAGUCGAGCGAAGCACUUUGCUUUGAUUUCUUCGGGAUGAAGAGCUUAGUGACUGAGCGGGCGACGGGUGAGUACGCGUGGGUAACCUGCCUCAUACAGGGGGAUAACAGUUAGAAAUGACUGCUAAUACCGCAUAAGGCCACAGCACCGCAUGGUGCAGGGGUAAAAACUCCGGUGGUAUGAGAUGGACCCG
rnacentral:rRNA from 1 species